rnacentral:rRNA from 1 species
UACGUAGGGUGCAAGCGUUAAUCGGAAUUACUGGGCGUAAAGCGUGCGCAGGCGGUUUUGUAAGCCCGGUGUGAAAUCCCCGGGCUUAACCUGGGAAUGGCAUUUGGGACUGCAAGGCUGGAGUGUGGCAGAGGAGACUGGAAUUCCCGGUGUAGCAGUGAAAUGCGUAGAGAUGCGGAGGAACACCGAUGGCGAAGGCAGCCCCCUGGGCCAACACUGACGCUCAGGCACGAAAGCGUGGGGAGCAAACAGG